rnacentral:rRNA from 1 species
GAUGAACGCUGGCGGCGUGCCUAAUACAUGCAAGUCGAGCGAACAGACGAGGAGCUUGCUCCUCUGACGUUAGCGGCGAACGGGUGAGUAACACGUGGAUAACCUACCUAUAAGACUGGGAUAACUUCGGGAAACCGGAGCUAAUACCGGAUAAUAUAUUGAACCGCAUGGUUCAAUAGUGAAAGACGGUUUUGCUGUCACUUAUAGAUGGAUCCGCGCCGCAUUAGCUAGUUGGUAAGGUAACGGCUUACCAAGGCAACGAUGCGUAGCCGACCUGAGAGGGUGAUCGGCCACACUGGAACUGAGACACGGUCCAGACUCCUACGGGAGGCAGCAGUAGGGAAUCUUCCGCAAUGGGCGAAAGCCUGACGGAGCAACGCCGCGUGAGUGAUGAAGGUCUUCGGAUCGUAAAACUCUGUUAUUAGGGAAGAACAAAUGUGUAAGUAACUAUGCACGUCCUGACGGUACCUAAUCAGAAAGCCACGGCUAACUACGUG